rnacentral:rRNA from 1 species
AACGAACGCUGGCGGCAGGCCUAUCACAUGCAAGUCGAGCGAGGACUUCGGUCCUAGCGGCGGACGGGUGAGUAACGCGUGGGAACGUGCCCUUUGCUUCGGAAUAGCCCUGGGAAACUGGGAGUAAUACCGGAUGAGCCCUUUGGGGGAAAGAUUUAUCGGCGAAGGAUCGGCCCGCGUUGGAUUAGGUAGUUGGUGGGGUAAUGGCCUACCAAGCCGACGAUCCAUAGCUGGUUUGAGAGGAUGAUCAGCCACACUGGGACUGAGACACGGCCCAGACUCCUACGGGAGGCAGCAGUGGGGAAUCUUAGACAAUGGGGGAAACCCUGAUCUAGCCAUGCCGCGUGAGCGAUGAAGGCCUUAGGGUUGUAAAGCUCUUUCAGCUGGGAAGAUAAUGACGGUACCAGCAGAAGAAGCCCCGGCUAACUCCGUG